rfam:Stegodyphus mimosarum contig12390, whole genome shotgun sequence.
GCCUUCGUGGUGUAAUGGUCAGCACGCUCGACGCGUUUUCUAGAAGUCCGUGGUUCGAAUCCUGGUGAGGGCA